CCCAUCUUCCUUGUAUGCUCGAUCUGUUUGGGAAUCCCACUAAAUCGAAGGUCGUAGUCGAACCAGUAUCCAAACACAUCACUUGUCCAGAUUGAAGGAGUCAACACCCAAGAGAAGUUCGAGUUAAUCAGAAGAGAACAAACUCUAUCAGCUCUUGUGAAAUGGAUAAAGCUUGGGUUUGGUUGCCAAGGUAUUAACUUGUUCUUACAUAUAUGCAUUGAUUUCAUUUUAUGAUUGACUGUUCUCAGUUUGUAAUGGGUACUAUUUGUUAACUUGUAGGAAUAGCCUUGAGUAUGAAACAGGAGCAACUAAGUUUGUGGUUGAAUCAUCAAGUAAUUUGGGUAAUC